rnacentral:rRNA from 1 species
AGAGUUUGAUCAUGGCUCAGAUUGAACGCUGGCGGCAGGCCUAACACAUGCAAGUCGAACGGUAACAGGAAGUGCUUGCACUUCGCUGACGAGUGGCGGACGGGUGAGUAAUGCUUGGGAACUUGCCUUUGCGAGGGGGAUAACAGUUGGAAACGACUGCUAAUACCGCAUAAUGUCUACGGACCAAACGGGGCUUAGGCUCCGGCGCAAAGAGAGGCCCAAGUGAGAUUAGCUAGUUGGUAAGGUAAAGGCUUACCAAGGCAACGAUCUCUAGCUGUUCUGAGAGGAAGAUCAGCCACACUGGAACUGAGACACGGUCCAGACUCCUACGGGAGGCAGCAGUGGGGAAUAUUGCACAAUGGGGGAAACCCUGAUGCAGCCAUGCCGCGUGUGUGAAGAAGGCCUUCGGGUUGUAAAGCACUUUCAGUUGUGAGGAAAAGUUAGUAGUUAAUACCUGCUAGCCGUGACGUUAACAACAGAAGAAGCACCGGCUAACUCCGUGCCAGCAGCCGCGGUAAUACGGAGGGUGCGAGCGUUAAUCGGAAUUACUGGGCGUAAAGCGCACGCAGGCGGUUUGUUAAGCUAGAUGUGAAAGCCCCGGGCUCAACCUGGGAUGGUCAUUUAGAACUGGCAGACUAGAGUCUUGGAGA